rnacentral:rRNA from 1 species
UGUGAAAGGCCCCCGGCUCAACCGGGGAGGGUCAUUGGAAACUGGGGAACUUGAGUGCAGAAGAGGAGAGUGGAAUUUCCACGUGUAGCGGUGAAAUGCGUAGAGAUGUGGAGGAACACCAGUGGCGAAGGCGACUCUCUGGUCUGUAACUGACGCUGAGGCGCGAAAGCGUGGGGAGCGAACAGGAUUAGAUACCCUGGUAGUCCACGCCGUAAACGAUGAGUGCUAAGUGUUAGAGGGUUUCCGCCCUUUAGUGCUGCAGCAAACGCAUUAAGCACUCCGCCUGGGGAGUACGGUCGCAAGACUGAAACUCAAAGGAAUUGACGGGGGCCCGCACAAGCGGUGGAGCAUGUGGUUUAAUUCGAAGCAACGCGAAGAACCUUACCAGGUCUUGACAUCCUCUGACAACCCUAGAGAUAGGGCUUCCCCUUCGGGGGCAGAGUGACAGGUGGUGCAUGGUUGUCGUCAGCUCGUGUCGUGAGAUGUUGGGUUAAGUCCCGCAACGAGCGCAACCCUUGAUCUUAGUUGCCAGCAUUCAGUUGGGCACUCUAAGGUGACUGCCGGUGACAAACCGGAGGAAGGUGGGGAUGACGUCAAAUCAUCAUGCCCCUUAUGACCUGGGCUACACACGUGCUACAAUGGGCAGAACAAAGGGCAGCGAAGCCGCGAGGCUAAGCCAAUCCCACAAAUCUGUUCUCAGUUCGGAUCGCAGUCUGCAACUCGACUGCGUGAAGCUGGA